GUCACACCCGUUCCCAUUCCGAACACGGAAGUUAAGCUCUUCAGCGCCGAUGGUAGUUGGGACUUUGUCCCUGUGAGAGUAGGACGUCGCCAAGC
rnacentral:rRNA from 1 species